AGGGUUUGACAUCCCGUGCCACGCUCAGAGAUGGGCGGUCCCCGCAAGGGGCGCGGAGACAGGUGCUGCAUGGCUGUCGUCAGCUCGUGUCGUGAGAUGUUGGGUUAAGUCCCGCAACGGGCGCAACCCUCGCCUUUAGUUGCCAUCAUUCAGUUGGGCACUCUAAAGGGACCGCCGGCGACAAGCCGGAGGAAGGUGGGGAUGACGUAGAACGGUUGGUU
rnacentral:misc_RNA from 1 species